rnacentral:tRNA from 1 species
GCCCGGGUGGCGGAAUUGGCAGACGCGACGGACUUAAGAUCCGUUACUCGCAAGAGUGUGUGGGUUCGACUCCCACCCCGGGCACAA